rnacentral:rRNA from 1 species
UACGUAGGGGGCAAGCGUUGUCCGGAUUUAUUGGGCGUAAAGAGCGUGUAGGCGCCAGACAGGUCCGUUGUGAAACUGGAGGCUCAACCUCCAGACGUCGAUGGAAACCGGUCUGGCUAGAGUCCGGAAGAGGAGAGUGGAAUUCCUGGUGGUGAGCGGUGAAAUGCGCAGAUAUCAGGAAGAACACCCGUGGCGAAAGCGGCUCUCUGGGACGGUACUGACGCUGAGACGCGAAAGCGUGGGGAGCG